UACGGGGGGGGCAAGCGUUGUUCGGAAUUACUGGGCGUAAAGGGCUCGUAGGUGGCCAACUAAGUCAGACGUGAAAUCCCUCGGCUUAACCGGGGAACUGCGUCUGAUACUGGAUGGCUUGAAUCCGGGAGAGGGAUGCGGAAUUCCAGGUGUAGCGGUGAAAUGCGUAGAUACCAGGAGGAACACCGGUGGCGAAGGCGGCUUCCUGGCCAAGUACUGACGCUGAGGCACGAAAGCGUGGGGAGCGAACGGG
rnacentral:rRNA from 1 species